UUGUUUCUCAGCACACUUGUUAAAAUUAGGAUGGUACAGGGAUGAUCAGUGCAGCCCCUGCUCAAGGACAACAUGUGAGUCUAAGGAAUGCUGCAUGUUUUA